GAUGAACGCUGGCGGCGUGCCUAAUACAUGCAAGUCGAACGAACAGACCAGGAUCUUUCUCCUCUGCCUUUGUCUGCCGACGGGGGAGUCACUCUUGGAUAACCUACCUCUAAGACUGGGGUAACUUCGUGAAACCGGAGCUAAUACCGGAUAAUAUAUUGCACUGCAUGGUUCCAUAGUUAAAGACGGUUUUGCUGUCACUUAUAGAUGGAUCCGCGCCGCAUUAGCUAGUUGGUGAGGUAACGGCAUACCAAGGCAACGAUGCGUAGCCGACCUGAGAGGGUGAUCGGCCACACUGGAACUGAGACACGGCCCAGACGCCGACGGGAGGCAGCAGUAGGGAAUCUUCCGCAAUGGGCGAGAGCCUGAUGGAGCAACGCCGCGUGAGUGAUGAAGGAUUUCGGAUCGUAAAACGCUGUUAUUAGGGAAGAACAAAUGUGUAAGUAAAUAUGAAGGUAUUGACGGUACCUAAUCAGAAAGCCACGGCUAAAUACGUG
rnacentral:rRNA from 1 species